UCGGGAAUUUUGUGCAAUGGGCGAAAGCCUGACACAGCAACGCCGCGUGAAGGAUGAAGUCCCUCGGGAUGUAAACUUCGUAAGAAUAGGAAGAAUAAAUGACGGUACUAUUUGUAAGGUCCGGCUAACUACGUGCCAGCAGCCGCGGUAAUACGUAGGGACCAAGCGUUGUUCGGAUUUACUGGGCGUAAAGGGUGCGUAGGCGGCAUAUCAAGUCACUUGUGAAAUCUCCGGGCUUAACUCGGAACUGCCAAGUGAUACUGAUGUGCUAGAGUGCAGAAAGGGCAACUGGAAUUCUUGGUGUAGCGGUGAAAUGCGUAGAUAUCAAGAGGAACACCUGAGGUGAAGACGGGUUGCUGGGCUGACACUGACGCUGAGGCGCGAAAGCCAGGGGAGCAAACGGGAUUAGAUACCCGCGUAGUCCCUGAGCGGGCUGGCAAGGCGCAU
rnacentral:rRNA from 1 species